rnacentral:rRNA from 1 species
AUUGAACGCUGGUGGCGUGCUUUACACAUGCAAGUCGGACGAGUGGCGAACGGGUGAGUAACGCAUCGGAACGUACCGAGUAAUGGGGGAUAAAUGUCCGAAAGGACAGCUAAUACCGCAUAUUAUUCGAGCGGCCGAUGUCUGAUUAGCGGGUUGGCGGGGUAAAGGCCCACCACGGCGACGAUCAGUAGCGGGUCUGAGAGGCUGGUCCGACACACUGGGACGUAGACACGGCCCAGACUCCUACGGUAGGCAGCAGUGGGGAAUUUGGGACAAUGGGCGCAAGCCUGAUCAUGCCAUGCCGCGUGUCUGAAGAAGGCCUUCGGGUUGUAAAGGACUUUUGUCAGGGAAGCGGUACCUGAAGAAUAAGCACCGGCUAACUACGUGCCAGCAGCCGCGGUAAUUC